rnacentral:lncRNA from 1 species
CCACUACACUCUUCAAGGCCUUUUGUUCUUCCUUUCUCAUUAGAACAUGACAGCAGCUCUGAGGGGUCAGUGUUGGGAGCCAAUGAGAAAGCUGAAUUUAAGUGACUCCCCGGAACCCUUGGGACUCUUCAGAUGGAGAACUUGGCUGUGAAGGGACCUAUCAAUUUGGGCUCCUUCCAGAACUGAAAACUGGUUACAAAUAUGAAACAGAUUUUACUACUGGACUUGAACUCCACAUAAGAAAAACAAACAAACAAGAUCCUCGAAGAUCCUCAUCAAAGAAUAGAUGCACUGUGACUGGCAGGGAUAUCAAAGAGGUAAGAGGUAAAUUUCUAAUGAAAACAUGUUUUCUCUGUGGUCAGGUAAAUAGAAA